rnacentral:rRNA from 1 species
UUAAGCGACUAAGCGUACACGGUGGAUGCCCUGGCAGUCAGAGGCGAUGAAGGACGUGCUAAUCUGCGAUAAGCGUCGGUAAGGUGAUAUGAACCGUUAUAACCGGCGAUUUCCGAAUGGGGAAACCCAGUGUGUUUCGACACACUAUCAUUAACUGAAUCCAUAGGUUAAUGAGGCGAACCGGGGGAACUGAAACAUCUAAGUACCCCGAGGAAAAGAAAUCAACCGAGAUUCCCCCAGUAGCGGCGAGCGAACGGGGAGCAGCCCAGAGCCUGAAUCAGUGUGUGUGUUAGUGGAAGCGUCUGGAAAGGCGCGCGAUACAGGGUGACAGCCCCGUACACAAAAAUGCACAUGCUGUGAGCUCGAUGAGUAGGGCGGGACACGUGGUAUCCUGUCUGAAUAUGGGGGGACCAUCCUCCAAGGCUAAAUACUCCUGACUGACCGAUAGUGAACCAGUACCGUGAGGGAAAGGCGAAAAGAACCCCGGCGAGGGGAGUGAAAAAGAACCUGAAACCGUGUACGUACAAGCAGUGGGAGCCUCUUUAUGGGGUGACUGCGUACCUUUUGUAUAAUGGGUCAGCGACUUAUAUUCUGUAGCAAGGUUAACCGAAUAGGGGAGCCGAAGGGAAACCGAGUCUUAACUGGGCGUUAAGUUGCAGGGUAUAGACCCGAAACCCGGUGAUCUAGCCAUGGGCAGGUUGAAGGUUGGGUAACACUAACUGGAGGACCGAACCGACUAAUGUUGAAAAAUUAGCGGAUGACUUGUGGCUGGGGGUGAAAGGCCAAUCAAACCGGGAGAUAGCUGGUUCUCCCCGAAAGCUAUUUAGGUAGCGCCUCGUGAAUUCAUCUCCGGGGGUAGAGCACUGUUUCGGCAAGGGGGUCAUCCCGACUUACCAACCCGAUGCAAACUGCGAAUACCGGAGAAUGUUAUCACGGGAGACACACGGCGGGUGCUAACGUCCGUCGUGAAGAGGGAAACAACCCAGACCGCCAGCUAAGGUCCCAAAGUCAUGGUUAAGUGGGAAACGAUGUGGGAAGGCCCAGACAGCCAGGAUGUUGGCUUAGAAGCAGCCAUCAUUUAAAGAAAGCGUAAUAGCUCACUGGUCGAGUCGGCCUGCGCGGAAGAUGUAACGGGGCUAAACCAUGCACCGAAGCUGCGGCAGCGACGCUUAUGCGUUGUUGGGUAGGGGAGCGUUCUGUAAGCCUGCGAAGGUGUACUGUGAGGUAUGCUGGAGGUAUCAGAAGUGCGAAUGCUGACAUAAGUAACGAUAAAGCGGGUGAAAAGCCCGCUCGCCGGAAGACCAAGGGUUCCUGUCCAACGUUAAUCGGGGCAGGGUGAGUCGACCCCUAAGGCGAGGCCGAAAGGCGUAGUCGAUGGGAAACAGGUUAAUAUUCCUGUACUUGGUGUUACUGCGAAGGGGGGACGGAGAAGGCUAUGUUGGCCGGGCGACGGUUGUCCCGGUUUAAGCGUGUAGGCUGGUUUUCCAGGCAAAUCCGGAAAAUCAAGGCUGAGGCGUGAUGACGAGGCACUACGGUGCUGAAGUAACAAAUGCCCUGCUUCCAGGAAAAGCCUCUAAGCAUCAGGUAACAUCAAAUCGUACCCCAAACCGACACAGGUGGUCAGGUAGAGAAUACCAAGGCGCUUGAGAGAACUCGGGUGAAGGAACUAGGCAAAAUGGUGCCGUAACUUCGGGAGAAGGCACGCUGAUAUGUAGGUGAAGCGACUUGCUCGUGGAGCUGAAAUCAGUCGAAGAUACCAGCUGGCUGCAACUGUUUAUUAAAAACACAGCACUGUGCAAACACGAAAGUGGACGUAUACGGUGUGACGCCUGCCCGGUGCCGGAAGGUUAAUUGAUGGGGUUAGCGGUAACGCGAAGCUCUUGAUCGAAGCCCCGGUAAACGGCGGCCGUAACUAUAACGGUCCUAAGGUAGCGAAAUUCCUUGUCGGGUAAGUUCCGACCUGCACGAAUGGCGUAAUGAUGGCCAGGCUGUCUCCACCCGAGACUCAGUGAAAUUGAACUCGCUGUGAAGAUGCAGUGUACCCGCGGCAAGACGGAAAGACCCCGUGAACCUUUACUAUAGCUUGACACUGAACAUUGAGCCUUGAUGUGUAGGAUAGGUGGGAGGCUUUGAAGUGUGGACGCCAGUCUGCAUGGAGCCGACCUUGAAAUACCACCCUUUAAUGUUUGAUGUUCUAACGUUGGCCCCUAAUCGGGGUUGCGGACAGUGUCUGGUGGGUAGUUUGACUGGGGCGGUCUCCUCCUAAAGAGUAACGGAGGAGCACGAAGGUUGGCUAAUCCUGGUCGGACAUCAGGAGGUUAGUGCAAUGGCAUAAGCCAGCUUGACUGCGAGCGUGACGGCACGAGCAGGUGCGAAAGCAGGUCAUAGUGAUCCGGUGGUUCUGAAUGGAAGGGCCAUCGCUCAACGGAUAAAAGGUACUCCGGGGAUAACAGGCUGAUACCGCCCAAGAGUUCAUAUCGACGGCGGUGUUUGGCACCUCGAUGUCGGCUCAUCACAUCCUGGGGCUGAAGUAGGUCCCAAGGGUAUGGCUGUUCGCCAUUUAAAGUGGUACGCGAGCUGGGUUUAGAACGUCGUGAGACAGUUCGGUCCCUAUCUGCCGUGGGCGCUGGAGAACUGAGGGGGGCUGCUCCUAGUACGAGAGGACCGGAGUGGACGCAUCACUGGUGUUCGGGUUGUCAUGCCAAUGGCACUGCCCGGUAGCUAAAUGCGGAAGAGAUAAGUGCUGAAAGCAUCUAAGCACGAAACUUGCCCCGAGAUGAGUUCUCCCUGACUCCUUGAGAGUCCUGAAGGAACGUUGAAGACGACGACGUUGAUAGGCCGGGUGUGUAAGCGCAGCGAUGCGUUGAGCUAACCGGUACUAAUGAACCGUGAGGCUUAACCUU